rnacentral:rRNA from 1 species
UACGGGGGGGGCAAGCGUUGUUCGGAAUUACUGGGCGUAAAGGGCUUGUAGGUGGCCAACUAAGUCAGACGUGAAAUCCCUCAGCUUAACUGGGGAACUGCGUCUGAUACUGGAUGGCUUGAGUUUGGGAGAGGGAUGCGGAAUUCCAGGUGUAGCGGUGAAAUGCGCAGAUAUCAGGAGGAACACCAAUUGCGAAGGCAGCUCGCUGGGACGUAACUGACGCUGAGACGCGAAAGCGUGGGGAGCAAACAGG